ensembl:lncRNA
AGCGUACAGAGGAGACCAAGAGGCAGACCUCCACCUGGCGCUGCUUGUUUGGCCUGACAUCCUGCCCCAUCGGGACCAAGGACACGAAGACAAACCAGGUCCUUCCUGAGGAGCAGCAUACAGAGAAAACCAAGAGCCAAACCUCAUUCUGGUCCUGCUUGCUUGGCUCUUCCCAAUGCCCCCCGUGGGUCUGGUACAAGGGCAACAAAGUUGCUGUUCCACAAGGCCCAAAGCAGCAGUCCCCGGGCACCAAGCAGAAGGCCUACAGCUUGCCUGGCAUCCUGGGCCACCUUUGGGACUGCCUUGUGCAAAGAGGGAGAACCUGGCUCCUUACAGCUCCCUCAACAAUUUUCUCCGUUCUCUGGCUGCUGACAACUGCCCGUGCCCACUGGAGAAGAUUAAGAAGACCUCGGGGACAGGGAACGGGACAAGUGGACCCAGCUUCCUUAGGAACAGAGGAAACGGACAACAUAAAUGCUCUCGACCUGCUCUGCCAGAUGGAUGUCUACAUAACCUUAAUGGAGAGACUUAUGACGAUCCUCAUGCAGCACCACGUGAAAAAUGUCAGGAGCCAGCAGUGCAGGAAGACGGCGCACGGCACGGGGGGCAGGAAGAGUCCCUCCACAGACUCCUGAGGGAGCUGGCAGAGGUGACUGCCAAGCCGCUCUCGGCCAUCCACCAGCGCUCCUGAUUAACUGGAGAGGUCAACAAGGCCAAGUGGCGGGUCCUGCACUUUGGCCACAACAAGCCCAUGCAGCGCUAUAGGCUUGGGGAUGAGUGGCUGGAGGAAAGGGUCCUGGGGGUGUUGGCUGAUGAAAGACUCAACAUGAGCUGCACCGUGCACUUGCAGCCCCCAAGGCCAAGCGUUUCCUGUGCUGCAUCAAGACAAACGUGACUAGCAGGUCAGGGGAAGUGAUUCUGCCCCUCUACUCUGCUCUCACAAGGCCCCACCUGCCGCACUGCAUCCACUUGUGGGGCCCCCAGCACAAGAAAGACAGCGGAGUGGGUCCACUGAUGCUGAGCACCAUGCCUCCAAGUGGCUGUGCUGACCGGGCCUUUCUCAAUGCCCCAUUCGGCUCUGGAACAAGGUCAGCAAGGCUGUUGUUCCAGAUGGCCCAAAGCAGCAACCCUCAGGCACCAAGAGGAAACCCUUCAGCUUUGCAAAAUCCCCACUGUGGCGGAGACACUUGGAGAGGGACAACAACAGUGACAGCUCAUCAGGCGGAUGCAGUCCUGCACCGGGUCUUCAUGGGGGGUCCCAUGAACAUAUUGAGGCAGUGUUGCUGUUGUGACACAAUGCAACCCCCGGAAAAGGAUGAACGUUCACAGCAAAAAAGACUCAGCCUUCAUCCAACGACUACCAGAGACACCCACCACAUCUUUAGGACGCGUGCUUAAGAGGGUGAUACAACAUGUCAGUAAUUUCUCAGAAUUCCAGCCCAUUUUUUUUUGGAAUGUAACAAAUAUGUCUAUGUUAUGUCUUUAAAUAUGUAACCACUGCUGUUCUCAGUGUGCGAGUAAGGAAUUAUCCCCCUCACACAUGGUGCCACAAUAAAUAUACCUACUUUAA